rnacentral:rRNA from 1 species
UAUCUCUGUAGAGUCUGCAUAUCAAUAAGCGGAGGAAAAGAAACUAACAAGGAUUCCCCUUAGUAACGGCGAGUGAAGCGGGAAGAGCUCAAAUUUGAAAUCUUCAAGGGUUUACCUUUACGAAUUGUAGUUUAAAGAAGUGUUUUCUGUUGGAAGUUUCGGUAAAAGUUCUUUGGAAUAGGACAUCAUAGAGGGUGAGAAUCCCGUAUUUGACCGUUACUUUCCAGCUGUGUGAUACACUUUCAAAGAGUCGGAUUGUUUGGGAAUGCAGUCCAAAAUGGGUGGUAAAUUUCAUCUAAAGCUAAAUAUUGGCGAGAGACCGAUAGCGAACAAGUACCGUGAGGGAAAGAUGAAAAGAACUUUGAAAAGAGAGUUAAACAGUACGUGAAAUUGUCAAAAGGGAAGCGUUUGACACCAGUGUUGUUUAGUUGAAAAUCAAUUAAAUAGUUUUCGAUUUUAAGUAGUAUUGACCUUAUCAGCUUGCUGCUUUCUUCUCGGAAAUUAUUUAAUGCACUUUUCAGUUAACAAGUCAACAUCAAUUUCUUUUGUUGUAAAAAGGUAAGAGGAAGGUGGCUUGCGCUUCGGCUCAAGUGUUUAUAGCCUUUUACUUCUGCAAUCGGAGAGAUUGAGGUCUGCAGCGUAGAUCCUUCGGGGUUAGAUACAUUUGUGCUAAGCUAUAGCCUUGUAUAGACAACUUGUUGACUAUGCUCAGUCAUGUAGCUUACUCGCUUAUGCUAUUUUACCUACGCUUAGGAUGUUGAACGCGCACAGAGUCUC